AUGGACAUGGACAUGGACAUGGGCUGGGUGAUGUGAGAGGUGCAUGGACAUGGUUGGGUGUUGUGAGAGGUGCAUGGACAUGGGUUUGUGAUGUGAGAGGUGCAUGGACAUGGGUGGGUGAUGUGAGAAGUGCAUGGACAUGGGUUUGUGAUGUGAGAGGUGCAUGGACAUGGGUGGGUGAUGUGAGAAGUGCAUGGGCAUGGGUUGUGUGACUUGCACGGCCAUGGACAAUUGCUGGGUGAUAUGACAGGCGCAUGGACAUGGACAUGGGCUGGGUGAUGUGAGAGGUGCAUGGACAUGGUUGGGUGUUGUGAGAGGUGCAUGGACAUGAGUUUGUGAUGUGAGAGGUGCAUGGACAUGGGUGGGUGAUGUGAGAGGUGCAUGGACAUGGGCAUGGGUUGGGUGACGUAAGAGGUGCACGGACAUGGACAUGGGCAAGGUGUUGUGAGAUGUUCAUGGACAUGGACAUGGGUUGUGUGACUUGCAUGGCCAUGGACAAUUGCUGGGUGAUAUGACAGGCGCAUGGACAUAGACAGGGACAUGGAUAUGGUUGGCUGAUGUGAGAGGUGCAUGGACAUGGGCUGGGUGAUGUGAGAGGUGCAUGGACAUGGUUUGGGUGAUGUGAGACUUGCAUGGACAUGGACUGGGUGAUCUGAGAGGUGCAUGGACAUGGACAUGGGUUUGUGAUGUGAGAGGUGCAUGGACAUGGGUGGGUGAUGUGAGAGGUGCAUGGACAUGGGCAUGGGUUGGGUGAUGUGAGAGGUUAAUGUACAUGGACAUGGUUGGGUGAUAUGAGAGGUGCAUGGACAAAGACAUUGGCUUUGUGAUGCGAGAGAUGUAUGGACAUGAACAUGGGCAAGGUGUUGUGAGAGGUUCAUGAACAUGAACAUGGACAUGGGUGGGUGAUUUGAGUGGUGCUGUUACAUGUACAUGGUUGGGUGAUGUGAAUGGUGCACGGACAUGGACAUGGGUUUGGUGUUAUGAGAGGUGCAUGGAUGUGGA
ensembl:lncRNA